rnacentral:rRNA from 1 species
AACAGGAUUAGAUACCCUGGUAGUCCACGCCGUAAACGAUGUCGACUUGGAGGUUGUGCCCUUGAGGCGUGGCUUCCGGAGCUAACGCGUUAAGUCGACCGCCUGGGGAGUACGGCCGCAAGGUUAAAACUCAAAUGAAUUGACGGGGGCCCGCACAAGCGGUGGAGCAUGUGGUUUAAUUCGAUGCAACGCGAAGAACCUUACCUACUCUUGACAUCCAGAGAACUUUCCAGAGAUGGAUUGGUGCCUUCGGGAACUCUGAGACAGGUGCUGCAUGGCUGUCGUCAGCUCGUGUUGUGAAAUGUUGGGUUAAGUCCCGCAACGAGCGCAACCCUUAUCCUUUGUUGCCAGCGGUUAGGCCGGGAACUCAAAGGAGACUGCCAGUGAUAAACUGGAGGAAGGUGGGGAUGACGUCAAGUCAUCAUGGCCCUUACGAGUAGGGCUACACACGUGCUACAAUGGCGCAUACAAAGAGAAGCGACCUCGCGAGAGCAAGCGGACCUCAUAAAGUGCGUCGUAGUCCGGAUUGGAGUCUGCAACUCGACUCCAUGAAGUCGGAAUCGCUAGUAAUCGUGGAUCAGAAUGCCACGGUGAAUACGUUCCCGGGCCUUGUACACACCGCCCGUCACACCAUGGGAGUGGGUUGCAAAAGAAGUAGGUAGCUUAACCUUCGGGAGGGCGCUUACCACUUUGUGAUUCAUGACUGGGGUGAAGUCGUAACAAGGUAACC